AUUGAACGCUGGCGGCAUGCUUUACACAUGCAAGUCGAACGGUAACAGGCCGCAAGGUGCUGACGAGUGGCGAACGGGUGAGUAAUGCAUCGGAACGCGCCCAGUCGUGGGGGAUAACGCAGCGAAAGCUGCGCUAAUACCGCAUACGAUCUAUGGAUGAAAGCGGGGGACCGUAAGGCCUCGCGCGAUUGGAGCGGCCGAUGUCAGAUUAGGUAGUUGGUGGGGUAAAGGCUCACCAAGCCAACGAUCUGUAGCUGGUCUGAGAGGACGACCAGCCACACUGGGACUGAGACACGGCCCAGACUCCUACGGGAGGCAGCAGUGGGGAAUUUUGGACAAUGGGCGCAAGCCUGAUCCAGCAAUGCCGCGUGCAGGAAGAAGGCCUUCGGGUUGUAAACUGCUUUUGUACGGAACGAAAAGGCUCUGGAUAAUACCUGGGGCUCAUGACGGUACCGUAAGAAUAAGCACCGGCUAACUACGUGCCAGCAGCCGCAGUAAUAC
rnacentral:rRNA from 1 species